CUCUUCAUCAGCACACCUGGCAGUAAUCAGGAGGACAGCAUAAGAACCAGUCACUCCUUGGGACCUACGCCGGAACGUCGUUAACUCUUGUAUUGCCUCUCUCAAUCCUCGAUCACUCGUUUUGGACUUGGACAUUGUUGCUUGCCGCCUGCCUUCGACCACCUGCCUGUCCCCGGAUCUCCCUUGUGCCUACCCUCUUGGUCAGACAAACUUUUCAUCCAUCACGCAUGUACAACAUCCUCUUGAAUUAUUUACAUGGUUAAUUCUACACUUAAUCCUGCAACCAACACUUAGAGUAGCAUACACAUCCCACACAAUCAUCAAAGGUUACAAUAAACCUGGUAACCUUAA